AUCUCAAGUCUUGUGCUCUUGAAAAUUUGAGUCGCCAGUAGAGCGUUCCCGCUUUUGAAGCUCCACACCGUUGCAAUGUACCUUGCGGCUGAUCUGGUACAUCGGUUACAUGUCGUGUAAGUUGGUGAAUGCAGGAGUUGAGGAUUUUUCCACCCGGCAGCAGGAUGAAUUGGCUAUCUCCAGUACCAUUCGAAGUAUGCUCACGGCACCGAAGAAACGACACUCCAUUCCAAGCGGAGGCUGGGCAAAUCUGGCGGAAAAAAACCUGGAUUCUCUUCGCAACAUCAAUAGGGGUCAAUGGGACCACCGGGAACGAACUGUUAAUGGUGAUUGCCUCAGCGAUCCUCUUUCCGGAUUGCAAGGAUCAUCAUCACGAUAACGGCUCUCGUACCAUCGCAUACUUAUCACCUCGGUAGGACUCUCCUGUUACGGCCAGAAAUUGCAAAUUUUCUUGGGGGGUUUGUUCCACUUGAAUUCGAAACAUUAUUGUUUUGCCACA